UCCCCACUUUCUUCGUUUCAUUUUUUUUUUUUGAAGUGGUGGAGUGACUGGUUACCUCCUUCCAUGAAUUAACCACAAUAACAUUUCUAAAUUCUGAUCCAAUUCACAAAUCUUUCUGUAGAAAAGGAUGCAUGUUGUAUUUGUCUAUUUGAUUGAUUAAUCAAUUUCGUCCGAGAUGUUUCUUUUCCGUUUCCCCAAAAUUGAACGUGGAGUAUAUAAAAGAUCCUAAAUUAGGGUUCUUAUGGGAACUGUUAGAAUGUUGGUGGUGUAAAAUUGAAACUUGUUUGCAUGGGAUUUUUGAUUGUCGUUGCUGUCAUGAUGAAGCGAAAUUGUAAGGUAGAAAAAGCUGGUUUAAAGAAGCGACACAUCACACUUGUAUCUGCAGACUAUUAAGUUUCAUAUUAGACUAAUGUUUUACAUUUGUGUGUUAACUCAGUUAGCUGAGGGAAGAUCAUCAACAAGGGUGGAGAACUCAUCCUAAUUUUUUUAUGGAGUGUUUAUUCAAUCUUUAGGGAAAAUGCCAUUUUUUCCCAGGUGAUUUUUAGAUAGAAGGAACGCCGGAGGUACUUGAACCUGCAUCUGCAUGCACUUUGGAGCUUCUAGGAAUGCCUCACACACCUGAAAAAUGCUAUAUGAAGGAGCGGAGUGAUUUCUGCGCUGCGUGAAUUGCUCAAGCAAGGCCUUUUAUGUUGAAAGUUCUUUCAGAGUGCAAUACUGGUCAUGCUUCUUGGGCCAUGCUCUGAUUAAAGAGGCAUUAUGUGGCAGUUCUUGUCUUUUCCUAUUACAUGUUAUUGGAUGAUUAAGAUUAUACAUUCUGUUUGAUCAAGAACAAGUGCUAGGAUUUAGUAGCGAUUUCCACGAAUACACGAUUGACUGUUGUCAGACUCAAAUAUGGAGGGCUAUGGAUCCAUGCACCUAUUGUGCUAGCCAAAGUGUGCAUAAAGACCAAGGAACACAGGGUUGUGAAAUCAUUAAAGUUGCAAGAGAACCAAGUAAAAUAGGGAGCAAAGAGAGUACAAAAUUUGGUUAGCAUUUUCGGGAUUGAUGCAGGCUUCGAGCAGCAAUCCUGGAUACAAUCAUGGAGUUUUUGAACAUUGCAUUAUCAAUUGAUGCAUUACUAAUGACAAUACAUAUAUCCCUCAAUGAACACUUAGUGGUAGCUGAAGUAAAGAGUUCACAUCUUUCGAUGUCUUCUACGUCUCCAUGCGUUAUAAACAAGAUAGUAUAACAAACUUGAAUUUGAAAGUUUCUGACGACAAACGGGAGUUUCUGGAUAUCUUAUUAUUCCAAGUACUUUCAGAAUUUUGUAGAGAUAUCUUCAUCCAUUUCUUGUUCGUUCAUAUUAACUGUAUGUUGUACGUGUUUAUGGAAUAUUGAGGAACUAACAGCUCCUAAAUUCCACCCAAAAUCAAUGUACUCUGUUA